AACAUCUAAAUCAGCCAUCCGCACGGACUUGAAGUCAUCAAUGAAUUUUCCAACUAUGCUUCUGCCUCUUCUGCGUUGGACCUCGUUGAAAUAAGUUUCAAGGACAUUUUGAAGUCUAGAAACAAAGUCUCUAAUUUCCCUUUCCAGGUAAUGUUCACUUGACCCCUUACUUUUUUUCUUAUCUAGAUCUUUUAAUAAACGGUGCCAAAAAUCUAGCUUUCGUUGUACAUCCUGAAUUCUUUUCUUUAUAUCAGGAACAAAAUAUGUUCGAAAUUCUUGUAACGAUCCAUCAUUUUCAUAUCCAUUGAUCAAUGAGUCAUCCAUUUUCUUUCUCACAGCAAGGACCAGCAAAAGAUGCUGAAAUUUUGAUCAGAUAUUUCUUGAUAGUGUCAAGUUACAUUCCUCAUCAUUGCAUUGCACUCGUAUGCAUCCCAACUCAGAUAAACUGUAAUAAAUCAAUGUGCACCUAUCACAACAGGGAAAAUGUUUAUCCCGUUAAUCAAUCUGGUCUAUAAGUAGUUCCAAACUAAUUGCAUCACUUUUCUCUUUUGACAAAAUCUAUAACUUCAUUAAUCCAUAUCACCACGAGUUGUGGUUGACAAAUAUAAUGGAAUGCAAAUAAGUCGAACUAGUGAUAUCAAAAAUUGGAGAAACAAAGGAUGCUACAGUGUGGGCUACUCCAUUCCUCCCGUGGGAAUAAAACAGCAAGACCAAAAUUAACAUCACCAAGUAGUGUUACAAUACCACAAUUUCAUCCACUUUUAAUCUGUUUACAAUUUGAUCUCAAAUUGUGAUGCUCUGUCCGAAAAAAUUCAAAUAAGAUAUAGUUAUAUAGUGAGGAAAACAAAAACUUUUUGAGAUGUGGUUAAAUUGAUACAAGAAAGAACUUUUCGAUAAUAAUUGGUUUAACUAUGCUCCUAGGAGAGAAGUGAUUCAAUAUUCAGUUCAGAUAAUCAGCAAAUGUUCAGUAGAAAUGUUAGAUUUUAUAGAUAUUUCAAAUGGCCUACAUGAUACUCCAAAUUCUCAUCUACACAACUCAUACCACCACCAAAUACAUUUCAAUCUCCUCAACUUUCUGUAUUUAGAGUUUAAUUCUGCUCGUUUUCACCAACAAAUUGAAGUUGUACAAAAACGCAUUUUCGCAAAUAUCAAUGUUAUUCUACCACAAACAGGGAUUUUUCUCGUAAAAGCCACUAAUGUACAGCUUCAUUUGAGUAUUUGUUUACUGAGAAAUUAAAUCCAUAACUAAUCUGCAUAUGGCAUAUGAGCAUGAGUACACUUACUUGGAGAUGGCAACAUAGAAUCUCUGGUGAGUGCCUCCUUCAAGAUGCAAUCAAUCGUAACUAAGGUUGCACAGUUCUGUCUCCUAUGAAUGAAAUUUUUAGCUAAAAGUUUUCACUGAAAUAGGCUGGCCAUGUGGACAAUGGAUGCCUAUAUUAUUUCUAUUUUCCGGUUGACUGCAAAGUCGUCUUUUUGUCUUAUCAUGGAUAAAUGAAAGCAGGUUUCUGUUUUGUACUUGUAUCGUAUUUUUCUAACAUUAUUAUGAUUUGUAGUAAUUGAGUUCUCAUAAAUCAUGUUCAUAAUCAAAUAUAUAAAACAUUAUUCUACUGGGAAAGUUAAUAAGAUAUUUGAUUCAAGACUCAGUCUCUAUUAUAUCAUGAUUAACCAAAUACAUAAAUAUAAAUUUAAACAAGAAGAGAUUUCAUUUGUAAUAUUUGAUUCAAGACUUAGUCUCUAUUAUAUCAUGAUAAACCAAAUACAUAAUAUAAAUUUAAACAAGAAGAGAUUUCAUUUGUAUCUAUAAAAAAAUCAAAACUUGUAAAAUACAACAAGAGAUUUCCUAACUACACCCACAUUUUUAUCUUCCUGAUCGACAUGAUAAAUAUCCGUUUGGCAUGACUUUGGAAAAGUUCAAACGAAUUUUCAAUAUUUAAAAGCUAUUUUUGGAUCUAUUCGACUAAUUUCAUAAAAGUGUUUCUUCUAAAUAGAAGAACUUUUAGUGAAGCCAAUCCAAAGGUCUUUAAAAAAUUAAUUUUCAAAUAAAAAUUAAAGUAAUAUCUUUUGAUGCUCUUCUACGUGAUGCAAUACCAAAGUAAAAGUUAUGCUAAAUGAACUCGGGACUCAAAUUCACCGAUUACCACAAAUACCUCAUUUAUGUCACCAACUAAUUUUAUAAUCAUAUUAAUUGUGACCACCGAACAUCUAUAAUUAAUAAAAUAAGUGGAAAUUACAUAAAAUCAUACUUUAACUGUUCAACCUUCUAAAAUCAUAUUCAAAGUUUCAUAUUUCAAUAAUCAGAAAUAUUAUUUUAAUCAAUAUUUUAUAAAAUAAAUAUUUUACUAAUAUACUCCAUUAUAUACAUUACAAACCCUAAUCAUCUUCAUAAACACUUCACUCUCUCUCUCUCUACACAAGACGCUGUCCUACAUCUCUCUCUACAUCAACACUUCUGUCGGCUACGAACUCCUGCGAUAGACCAAUCCAGCGUCGCGAUGUGAAGAUGUGGUUGGUGCAGGUCCCUCGCUCGAUGGCUGAAGCGAUCUGGCAGUGAUGUGAAGAGGUGGUUUGCAAUCGCCUCGAUUCGUUGCGAUGUGAAGCAGUGGAGCUGCUACGGGCGUUGAUU
rnacentral:lncRNA from 1 species